rnacentral:rRNA from 1 species
CUACGUGCCAGCAGCCGCGGUAAUACGUAGGGCGCGAGCGUUGUCCGGAAUUAUUGGGCGUAAAGAGCUUGUAGGCGGUUGGUCGCGUCUGCUGUGAAAGGCUGGGGCUUAACCCUGGUUUUGCAGUGGGUACGGGCUAACUAGAGUGCAGUAGGGGAGACUAGAAUUCCUGGUGUAGCGGUGGAAUGCGCAGAUAUCAGGAGGAACACCGAUGGCGAAGGCAGGUCUCUGGGCUGUAACUGACGCUGAGAAGCGAAAGCAUGGGGAGCGAACAGGAUUAGAUACCCUGGUAGUCCAUGCCGUAAACGUUGGGCACUAGGUGUGGGGGACAUUCCACGUUUUCCGCGCCGUAGCUAACGCAUUAAGCACUCCGCCUGGGGAGUACGACCGCAAGGUUGAAACUCAAAGGAAUUGACGGGGGCCCGCACAAGCGGUGGAGCAUGUGGUUUAAUUCGAAGCAACGCGAAGAACCUUACCAGGUCUUGACAUCCCUCUGACCGCUCUAGAGAUAGAGUUUUC